UACGUAGGGCGCGAGCGUUGUCCGGAUUUAUUGGGCGUAAAGAGCUCGUAGGCGGCUUGUCGCGUCGUCCGUGAAAACCUGGGGCUCAACUCCAGGCCUGCGGUCGAUACGGGCAGGCUAGAGUUCGGUAGGGGAGACUGGAAUUCCUGGUGUAGCGGUGAAAUGCGCAGAUAUCAGGAGGAACACCGGUGGCGAAGGCGGGUCUCUGGGCCGAUACUGACGCUGAGGAGCGAAAGCGUGGGGAGCGAACAGG
rnacentral:rRNA from 1 species